GCCUGGGUGGCUCAGUCAGUUAAGCGUCUGACUUCAGCUCAGGUCAUGAUCUCACAGUUCGUGAGUUCAAGCCCCGCAUCGGGCU
rnacentral:tRNA from 1 species